CAUGUUGUUUUUUCUACCUUGACAGAUGGCAAAAAAGAAAAUCUGUUUUCAGGGCUAAAACAAUAAUUAUCAUGUUAUUUCAAACGAACAAAAUGAACAGCGUGGGUCUGUGGAGUUAAUGUAACUUCAGAGUUGGCUGACAGAUGUCCGAUGGAUGUUCAUUUGCGGGCGCUCACAGUUCACCAGUCCUCAACUUGAGACGGCAGGCAGGCAGCAUCGGUUUCAGAUGUCAGCCCCUUUCUGCUGGCAGCAGCCGGAUGAUCCUCUGUCCCCUCCUCUGGUUGCAUCAUCUCAGCAUCCCCCCUCAGCACAGGAGACACCGUUUACUGCCUUCAGGGUGCUUCAGUGUCUCAAAAUGAGUCCUGGAGCUGGACCAACAGUCUGCAGAGCUUCUAAAGCCAGUCUACAUCUACAAUCAGUGUGGAGGAAAUGGGCAUAUAAUGUCCAAGAUACUGGGUAAACAUGAGUGUCUGCAGAUGAGUGUGUAUUCCUUCUUCAUUUCUAAUCAAUUUCAAACCUUUAUUAUUGUAAGACUAUGAAGUUCUGUGAACGCAUCAUCACAUCAGGAGAAAAUGUAAUAGCAUAACAUAAUUUUUUUGUUUUUAAUUUGGUUUAUACUUGUGGUUGCUUGCUUGCCUUUAAAGGGCCACUGUGUUGUUCUGGAGAAGAAAUGUAAACUCUUUACUAUUUACGAUAUUUAUGAGGGAAUAAUUAAGAGCAGACCAAUCACAGGCCCUGACUGAUAUUCAGCAUUUUCCGAUUUUUGGUAUCUGUAAUUUUUCCGUGGGAUUACUCUGAUGCAGCAUCCUCUCAUACAAUGUCCCGCUCACAACACUAUCUGAUUGGUAACACAACACAGGUCACAAUUAAUAGCGCAUAAUCACUGAAUAAUCUGAAUCUGCAAAGUAAUGAGUAAUGUAAUCAAAGCUAAUGUAAUCAAAUAAAUGUAGUGUAGAGUAAAAGAGCAGUAAAAGGAAAUACUCAAGUAACGUACCUCAAAAUUGGACUUAAGAGCAGUAUUUGAGUGAAUUGUACUCAAAAUUCACUCGAAAUUCUCACAAAGAUUUUCAUUUUUUCUGCAACUGAAUAUCAGUCCCAAAUAUUCACUCUCCUUGAUUUGUAAUAAUUGGAAUUGGCCCUCAUCUUAUGUUCUGCACUAGAGUACAAUGACAACAGAGUAUAUGGAAUCUCUUGAAUCUUAAAUCAGAGGCAUCAGGGAGUGCCCACCAGGUAGAACAAACUCAGCAUGCUGAGAGAACUCAGCCCACAGUACAGUAUGAGUUUAUCACAUAUUUUAUAAAAGAGCACUGAAACACUGCUGAACAUAGAAGUAAGAGUACUGAAAGAUAUUAAACCUCAAGUCUAAAUAGGUUUUGUCUUGUAAGAAAUGACACGUUGCAAGAUUAAUAUUACCAAGUUUUAUUUACAUAAAUCAUACAUACAAGACCUACAAGUCAUUGCUCGUCCUAAGAACCACUAAGAGUUAUUGCUUAAUAAUUUACAUAGAUCACAAGCCUUUAGGGUUAUAGUUUGUGCUAACAAGUGUUUGAAUACUUGAGGUGAUUUGGAAAAAAGAAUAUUAAUGCAAGCACAAUGCGGUGUACUUUCACAUGGCUUUAAAAGGUAGGUAUGCUAGGUAUGUAUGUUGAUGAUACACUUGUUAAUAAACCAGGAAAUUUGGA